GUCCCUUAAAAUAAGAUAAAACUAAUCAGACAAAUCUAAUCUCACACAUAUCAUUGAAACCAAAGUGAAGAACAUUUACAGGCACUAAAGCUAAUCUGCUCUGUGUUCCACUUUUAACACAUCCUCAUUCAUAAAAGAAAGCAGCACACAAAGGAGAUGAUGAUGAAGAGGAUGAUAAUGAUUGAUUUAAAGUGCUAAAGUGCCAAGACGAUAAAAGACCAAACAGCAGCAGCCUGUAAGCAGAACCUGCUGGAGAAAAAAACAUGCCGGCUGGUGGCGCCUUCCUCCAUUACAGGACGUGACUUUAAUGGAAGCCUUACCACAGCUGGGAGUCUGAUGUAAUAGAAACGCGGGAAAGAAUAACGGUAAGAGAAGCAGAGAAACAGAAGAGCAGCCUUGUGUGUGAUCGAAGAAGAAGAAUGAGGAAAUCGGACAAAAGUGGACAGGUGUGAUCUUGCCAUCACUCAGCCAGAUUGUUGUGUGCAGUGGUACCUCGUUUUCAGUAUGCACUGUGGCAGAAUAAUUGUUCCUGAGUAUUAUUUCCACCCGACGGGACUACAAAAGGACAAGGCUUGGCCAAUAGAAUUCGUCAGACUAAACUAAGCUUCACAACUAACCUAACACGGAGCAGGUUUGUCCAAAAGCACAUGUUGUCAUAGAAAAUCAGCGGGGCUUAUGAUUCACUUUGUUUCUGGAACUGAAAUUGACAGCUGGGCUUGAAAUAAACCUGGCUUAUCAAGUUAGCUCAUGGAAUAACGCCCUGAUUUCCUAUCUCCUUUAUUCUCUCAUUUAUUGAAUAUGAAUUAUCCAUGUUUGUUGUUGCCUGCAUGUUCUCUGACAGCAAAGCAGCGGGUAGCCAAUAAUAUGUGAUUAAACAAACUAAAGAACGUGUUCAUUACUGAUGUUCAUGAAAUACUGAGCAAAAUGUGUUCUUAAAUAAUCAUCUGCACUGUGUGUGUGUGUCAUGUUAAACAGCCAAUAAGCAUUUGGAACCAUUAUAAAAUAUUUCAGGUGCUUUCAAACCUGAAAUUCUUUCCCUAGCUACACCUCUGAACGACAGAGAGAGUCAGAGAGAGAGAGAGACAGGGAGAGAGUGAGACUGGAGGUGAGACAUUUCCCAGCUGAUGAUUAAAGGAUGUGAAAAACAUUUGUUUUAAUUCAGAGAGAAUUAUUCAUUUGAGGAUAAAAUAUUUCUGUUUUAUCUUUUCCAACUUUCAGCUCUCAGCAUUAAAGCUGAAGUGUCUCUUAUCUAAUUUAAUUUACACUCCACACACAACUCCAUCAACCCUAACCCCUAAGUCCUAGAUCUAAACCCUAAGCCUUAAGCCCUAGCUUUAAACCUAAUUUUCUAAGGCUAAUUUUUCUGUUUUAUAUACUCAAGUACAGAUGUCUAUGUAAUAAAGAGAUAAACGCACGUCACAGCCCACCUGUCUCUCUCUCUAUCAUGUAUCAAUCCACUUAUUCCUCCUUAUCCCAUUUCUCUCUAUUUUCUCUGUUUUCUAUUAUUUUUUUUAUAGAUUAAUCUCUAUGUCUGCAGCUCUCAGUGCCUGGAAUGCAAAUCACAAUGAAAUAAAAAUAGAACUCCUAAUCCGAGGAGGUUUGAUUUUGAUCCUACAGCUCAGAGAGCAGAGGUUUGUUGUGAAGAAGAACUCUAAGACUUUAUUCAGGUGUUGCUUUGUCAAGUUUUUCUUCCCAAGAGAUGAAGAUGAAACUUCAAAAAGUCCCGUAACGACACACUGAGCCAUCACCACAGAAACGCCAGGGAUCGGAUGACGGACGCUGUGUGUUUGACUUACAGAGAACACACACACACACACACACACACACACACACACACACACACACACACACACACACACACACACACACACACACACACACACACACACACACACACACACACACACAGACAGACAGACAGAGAGACAGAGCUGCUCCAGUUACAACCACUGACAGAGAGACAUUUAAUUGUGUAGAAGGACAGAAGGGGAGAGAGAAAGACGGCAUAAGUGAUGGUGUGGAAAGUGGAUAUUAGAAUAGUUUGAGAAAAAAGAAGGAAGGAAACCAGGACAUGAUUUAAUCCCCCAAACCCUAACUAACUUCCCUAACAUAUGUGUCUGGUUCAUAAAUGAGCCUUUUUUGAAUGAGUCAUGAAGGUGAACGAUUCAGUGUUGAUCACUGCCAUAGACUGAAUCAUGACCUUUGUUCACGUCUCAUUUAGAAAGUUUAUCCAUUCAUUAGUCGGUGGAUUAUGAGGAUGUGAUUGGUCUGUUACCUAUUCAUUUUCAUGAAGGAAAGCGGGAAGGCUCUUCUCUUCAGCACAGACUCUCAUAGGAUGUUGAAGGCUAUGGACAGGACGAGGAAGUUCCUAUUGGUUCAAAUUGGAGUCCCUCAGGGGUCAGUUCUAUUUAUUUUCCUUGUAUAUAAACAACACCUUUGAUAACAUUCCUAACGCUAGGUUUAAUUUUUAUGCAGAUGAUAUCGCUAUUUAUUGUUGUGUUUCAUCAGCUUCACUAGCUCUUCAAUACUUGCAGUCAGCUUUUAAUACUGUACAGUCUUGUUUAUAUCAACUUAAGUUGGUUUUAAAUACAGACAAAACUAAAUUAAUGAUAUUUUCAAACUCCAAAGCUCUACUUACGAAUCUUCCUGAUAUUACAUCCUUCCAGGGAACAAAAAUUGAAUGUGUUGCUAGUUAUAAGUAUUUGGGUAUUUUAUUUGAUAGUUUGUUAUCUUUUAAACUUCAUAUUGAUAAAUUAAUUUCUAAGUUGAAGCUUAAAUUGGCAUUUUAUUUCAGAAACAGAACGUUAUUUUCUUUCAGUGCAAGGAAACAUUUGGUGUCUGCAAUCUUUUCACCGCUAUUGGUUUAUGGAGAUCUGCUUUAUAUGAAUGCUCUGGUACACUAUCAAAAAAAAACUUGAUAUUGUUUGUCACAGUGCUUUAUGUUUUAUUACUGGUUGUAGCUAUUAAACACAUCAUUGCAUGUUAUAUGAUAAGGCUGAGUUACCAUCUCUGUAUAUACGGAGAAGUUUUAACUGGUACUGUUUUAUCUAUAAGUCUAUUUGUGAUUUAACUCCAUCUUAUUUGUCUCUUAGCCUAUCUAAUACAAAGGUAUACUAUAAUCUUUGUUCAAAUGACCUGUUAUAUCUUAAAGUUCCUGGGGUCCAAACAGAGCUGGGGAAAAAAGACUUUAAAUAUAGUGCUUCUGUUACUUGGAAUCAUUUAAAGCUGAGCAUGCUUCCAUCACUAAAUGGGUUUAAGGUACUUCUAACAGUCAUUUUAAGACUGUAUUUUAUCCCCUGGUAAAUUGUUGUUGUGAUUCUUGAUUGUGUUCUUUUGUGUUUUGAUGUUUUAAAGUUGUAUAUUCAUGUUAUUUGUUGCUGCCCUCUUGGCCAGGUCACUCUUGUAAAAGGGAUUUUUAAUCUCAAUGAGUUUUUAACCUGGUUAAAUAAAGAAAUUAAAUGAGGUGUCAAUUAAAAGGUCGCAGCCCAGAGGCCAUUUCGAAUUCUACCAAUAAGGGAUAGUCAAUCGCGUGCUGAAGAGAUAAGCAAGAAAACUUGAUCUUCUGAGAUCAUUUGGAACGAUGCAGCAAGUCUGUGGGGAUUUACUGAUGUAAAAUUAGUGUUUUAGACUAAAUAUUUUUACAUAAUUGGAUUGUUUGGACCUUUGCCAGUGUAACUGAGCCAUAACAUAUCGGGAUGCUAUGGAUCAGUGGACUACUAUGAGGCUUCAAGUGUGAGUUGCUUUGUUUUAUGUUUGUUUGUAUGUUGGUGGUCGGACAGAGACGUUGAUUGUAGCUACCGUUGUAAGUGUUGUACUACGUGCUACUGUUGUAAAUAUCUUUAAACCAUGUCAGUCUU